CCGCAGCUCAGCCAGCGCUGCAUCGGAUUCCUUGGGAACUCAGCGGGGCUGCCGGGAUAAACUGCUUGGACAGGCGUCACUGCGAGAAGACUGACAGCGCACACAGGAGCCACAGUUACAGCCAGUCACUGAUUCGUUUCCUGCCUGAGUGCCUUAAAACCUUUUCAGAAAUGGAAGGAGAUAAAGGACAAGAUGCUAAAGCUACCAGUGCAGUGGGUGACCUGAGGAAGAGCUGGCAGACGUGGGCAGAGGAUCACAUUGAGUACCAGAGGAAGAAUCCCUUCAGCAGUGACGACAGGCUUGCGUCUAAACCUGCGCAUACUCACAGAGGAGACCCUACCUACGGGAGACCCCCUGAAGGGUCUCGGACCGAGCAGAGAGGGAAAGAUGCUCACUCACACGUGGGUAGGGAAGUAGAAGAGCUGUGCAUGAUCAUCAGAAGAACUGGAGAGGUGGGAGAAGAUGGACAUGUUAGUGUGACAUUCGGGCAGCUGUUUGAAACAUAUGUGACUAUUUCCAAUAAGGUAGUGGGAAUCUUGUUAAGAGCCAGAAAACACGGUCUGGUCCAUUUUGAAGGUGAAAUGCUUUGGCAAGGAAAAGAUGAUGAUGUGGUCAUCACUUUACUACAAUAAGGCUUUGUCCUGGGAUGAACUUUGCUGCAUGGUUCCAUUUGGAAAAUCUAGAUACCAUCUUCACAGGUUUUGCUUACAGAAUUUCAGCUCAGCUACCUACUGGAACACAAGCAGGAGAGAAAAUGAGCAAGAAGGAUAAAGGUUAUUUUUGUAAAAAUGGUAGAGAUUUGGACAGAAAUCACAGAUUAUGAGCUACUCCAUCACGCUGACAUUGGAUUGUCCUUAUUAUCAUCUGCUACCAAGUAUAUGAGAGUUCUUCAAACAACUCUGCUGGCCUAUUGCUUUUAGGUUACUGAAAGUAUAAAUUAUUAACUUCCUAUCCUACAAUACUGAUUCCUGCAGGUUGUGAAAUACUGUGUGGGAAAAUGGGAUGUGUAAAACGUGGAAUUGAAAACUCCUGUGGGAAUUCAUAUACUACUUCAAACAAAGAGCCUGGUAUAUAGCAAAAGCAUAGGUUCAAUCUCACAUGGUUAAACUGAAUACAUGGAAGUUAUUUUCAUGAAGUAGAUGGAAAUUCCCAAACUUACAAAAAUAUCACAGCAAGGAUACUUAGUGGUACCUAAAUUGGUUGUAUCUUGCUUGGAUUUUGGACAGUUGCACUAGUUCUGGUAUUUAAUAGUCUAAUCUUGUAUCUUCUCCAAACCUUCUGUAUUUCUUUUUCUUUUUGUUUUCUAUCUCACACCAUUCCUACCUUUUCUGUUCUUCUAAAGCUUCAGAAGAAGUCCACAAAGCUCUGCAGCCUUUUUGGUGAAUUCAGCUGUACCCCUUCACAGAAGGUAUGGCACCACAAUGUAAAGAUGCAAAAGUGAACAGAAACUUUGUACUGGGGCACCUGUGCAUUCAUAAGGAAAAAAAAAAAGGAUCUUCUUUCACCAAAAUGUAACACUGUUUUUUACAAGAGGAGAGUAGAGAUACAGAAGUACCAAAUGCAUAAAUGAAAGAAUAGCAGCACAGUCCCAUACCUCAUUUACCUGCUUUCAGAGCACAGUUGUGAGCUCUUCAGAAAGAAAAAUAAAGGAUUGGUUAUAUAAAAUAGUUGUAAUAGUGCUAUGAAGAAUAAUCAAGAGCUAUAUUACAAUAGCUCCCAUCAAUAAAGCUGUAUAAUUAGAAAUCUAAAGUUCAAUUUUGUAGCAGUGUGAAUGGAAACUUGUGUGAUAACCACACUACUUGAUGAGUCUUUAAAGUAAGAUACUGUCUUGCAUCAAAAGGAUACUAAAAUUUAAUAUAAAUUAGGAACUUGAUAAAAGUGAUGUGUAAUCUUAUGCUAUUUAUAUAAAAGACCUUCUAUUGCAAAAGCCAAAAAGAAUGGGGUUUUGUUUUGAUAUUUUCAUACAAUGGGGAGGAUUUCAUUAUUACCCCGUUUCCUUUUUUUUCUGGUGAAAGGACAAUGAAAAGAGAGAAAAAAAGGAAUAAAUUAAUGUGCUGAAAUAAGUAUAUCUGGGGAACAUUGGUAUGUUCCUUAGGUUUCAAACCUACUGCUUCUUUCUAAACAGAUCUACAUCUUGCAGCUGAAAAAAAUGACGUAGUUUGUGAUCUUAACAUAUUUAAAAUGCUGUGUUCUUUUUGGAAAAGCAUUUCUUGCCAAAUGACAUAAGCACACCUCACGGUAUGUCAGCUAAGUGUUAGAGGAAGUCUUUACAUGCAUUCAGAUUUCAACACAAAUUGAGCUUUUUAUAGAGCAGAUUUGGAAUGAGUUUUGUUUAAUUCUAAUAAUUCUGAAAUCCAGUCAGUUCUGCUGUAGUGUCAGUUCCUAACUUGCAGGAAGCAGCAUUGGGCACUUCAAGUGUCACCAGCUGACUAAUGGGAUGGCACUAUCAGGAAAAAUAAUACAUUGCUGGACACUGUACAAAUAAUUCAUUGCAAGACACACGUGAGGCAGUAUGCAGCCUAAGCACCAUAACAUGCAAGUCCAGCUCACAUAAAUUUACUAGAUUUUAAUUAAAGCUGACUCAAAUAGUUAAAUAUCAGCAAUCCAGGCUGUCACUGCCACUAACUGGUAGAUGCUUGAGUGCAUCUGCAAGUGCUUUAAGUACACCUCUGAUCAAAA